GGGUUAUUUUCAUUGUAUUUUUGAGCUGAUAAACAUGUUGUUUAUGCUUUAUUGAUGUUUUGAUCAUAUUGUAAAGUUGUUUAUUUUUUUUUUCUUUCAGUUUUUACCAUACUUCUUAUUGGAAUGAUGUACUACGCACCUAUUGGAUGUCAUUUUCGGUGCUUUAUGUGAAUAAAGUAUUAACAUUCUAUAAUUUGUUGGUUAUCUGGUUGUUUACCCUAGAAACAGCACAGUAAAAACACGAGAUAAUGGAUUCACAACAUGGACAUGGUGAUAACCCAGAUUCAAGAACACGUGUUCUUACAGAUAGUGGACUGGAGCUUUAUAAUGCUAACAUUAGAACUCACUUAAAGAAGAUAGAACUUGUUCAAACAGAAGUAGAACUUUGCCUUGAAAGAUUUUCGACAACAAAUUCAGAAGACUAUGAGACAGUGUUAGAAAUUCAAAAAACUUUAAAUUUGUGUCAUUGCAAGUACAGUCUCUAUUCAGAGGAGUACUUGAAAUAUUUAAGGAACACACGUACAGAGGACAGUCUCAGGAUAGCUGAAGAACACAAAAAAGAAGAUUUAAAGUACAAAGACAUUAUUGAACGUGCACUUCAGCAAACGAAGGUUUCAGACAGACACGAAACUUCUUCUCAGUUCACGCAUAGAUCUGGAGCACAUUCCAGAGCUUCUUCCAACUCGAGCUCUGUUGUCCUUAGAAAACGUGCAAAAGCAGAAGCAGCUCAAGUCAAAUUGGAAUUUGCCUUGAAAGAAGCUGAAAUGCAAAAACAGAAGGCAUAUAUAGAAGAACAAGAAAAAAUAUUGAAGGCUAAAUCAAUUACUAAAAAGGCAAAAUUAGCAGCUGAAAUAGAACUGCUAAACUAUAAGAAGGAAGCCGCCGCCGCUGUCGCCGAGGCAGAGGCUUUGCAACAUGAGCAAAGUGCCUUUGGCAGUAAAAAGUCUGAUGUUAUUCUAGCCAAAACAGCCUUUGAUCGCACUAGACAAUAUGUUGAACAACAGGGUGAUCAAGUAUUAGCUGCUGAUCACAACGUUAACACAUUACAUAAUCCGUUUGUAAAUCUCGUAGUAGGUGAUGCGUGCGACGAAUCCCGUAAUUGGCCAACAUUCAAACAAACACAAAAGCCAUCACAUCCUGAAUAUGGAGUGCGAAGUGUUAGUAUAGUACACAAUGACAAUGAUAAUAACACAAAAACUUUAAAUCCGGAAGCACUGACCUUUCAACCUGAAACGGCUGCUAUUAAUCAAAAUGUUGCAACCGAUAUAACUAGAUUUCUUAUGAAAAAAGAUUUGUUGUUAUCGAGACUUACACCGUACAAUGAUAAAGCAGAGAUGUACGCAGUAUGGAAAGCAAGUUUUAAGAAUAUAAUUGGUGAAUUAUCAGUCUCAGCUUUGGAAGAGUUGGAGCUUAUGGGCAAAUGGUUAGGGCCAGAAUCCACGAAACAUGCAAAUAGCAUUCGUUCAGCGAACAUUAAUAAUCCGGCGAAAGGACUACAGCGCUUAUGGGAUAGAUUAGAUGAACGUUACGGUUCUCCAGAAGCGGUCGAAGCCUCAUUAAUGGCCAAGUUGAAUAGUUUCCCAAAACUGACACAAAAAGAUAAUAAAAGACUUUAUGAGUUGUCAGAUAUACUAUGUGAGAUUGAAUCAGUCAAGGAAGAUUCAAGGUACCAGGCAUUAUUAGCCUAUUUUGACUCGUCAUCGGGCGUACUUCCGAUUUUGAAUAAACUACCGUAUAACAUUCAGGAGAAAUGGACGACACGAGCCUCUCACUAUAAAAGAGAAAAACAAGUAACAUUUCCACCGUUCACGUUCUUCGUUAAGUUUAUCCGAGAACUGAGUCAGAUUAAAAAUGACCCGAGCUUUGCUUAUGAUCAGACAAUACAAACUAAAAAGGUAUUCAACAAUGACAAACCGGCAUUCAGGACCGCGAUUUCAGUCAGGAAAACAGAGAUCUCUAGUGACCUUGAUUUACAAAAACAGUGUUUAAUACAUAAAACUGGACACUCACUUAAUCAGUGUAGAGCUUUUAAAUCAAAACCGUUGCAAGUACGCAAGAAAUUCAUCAAUGACAAUAAGAUUUGUUAUGGUUGCUGUGAGUCCACUAAACAUGUUAAGCGAACAUGUACAAACAAAAUCAAAUGUAGUGAGUGUGGCAGUGAUCGUCACCCUGCAGCACUACAUUUGAAUAGAGAGUUUACUGCAGAUCAGAACAAUAACGAGUCGAAGCAGUCCGUCCACGGCGGGGAGGAACAAUCGGUUAAUCAAGAGACCGUUGUUGAAGCUAGUUGCACUGAAAUUUGCGGAAAAUAUUUUGAUGGAAAGUCCUGUGCAAAAAUCUUAUCAGUCACUGUUUUUCAACGUGAUCAAUAUGACAAUAACAAGAAAGUUUAUAUUAUAUUAGACGAUCAGAGUAAUCGCUCAUUAGCGUCACCGUUAUUUUUCGAUACCUUUGGAGUACAGGGUACAGCAGAAGAAUAUACAUUGUCUUCUUGUUCAGGUCGAGUAAAAAUGUCAGGGCGCAGAACAAAUGGAUUCGUAGUUGAGUCGUUGGACAGAAAAGUGCAGUUGGACUUACCGAUGCUAAUAGAAUGUAGUGAUCUUCCACACAACAGAGAAGAAAUUCCUACGCCUGAUAUUGCUAUCAGACAUUCUCACUUGAAAGAAAUGGCUCAUUAUCUAUCUCCUCUUGAUCCAGACUGUGAAAUUAUGUUGCUCAUAGGUAGAGACAUGACAGAAGCGCAUCAUCUUGUCGAUCAAAUAAUUGGACCUCAAAGUGCUCCGUUUACGCAAAAGAUGCAUCUUGGCUGGGUAGUGAUAGGUAACAUGUGCUUAGAUGGAAUACAUGCUCCAAAUGACGUCAAUGCCUACUUGACUCACAUUGCACCAGAUGGUCGUGCUUCGAUUCUUCAACCUUGCCCUUACAAUUAUGAUGUAAAUGAGUGUUUUUCUUGCGGUAGUAUUAACCUUGGAGUUCAUCACAAGAAAAAUGGCAAUAUCACAAGUGCAAUAUUCGAACGCACUACACAAGAUGACAAACCUGGAUUAUCUAUAGAAGAUAGACAAUUUCUAGAAAUAAUGCAAGCUAAUCUCCAGAAGGACAGUAAUGGUAAUUGGUGUUCACCUUUGCCUUUUCGCACUCCGAGACGACGUCUUCCGAAUAACAGAGCAAUGGUUUUGCAUCGUGCUAAGUCACUGGAGAAAAGUUUUGAUCGUGAUCCAGUAAAACAAGAACACAUAUUUGCAUUCAUGCAGAAACUUUUUGAGUGUAAACAUGCUGAGUUGGCUCCUCCUCUGAAAAGUAAUGAAGAGUGCUGGUACUUACCUGUUUUUGGCAUCUACCACCCAAAGAAACCGGAUAAAGUAAGAUGUGUAUUCGACUCAUCGGCAAGUUAUGAUAACGUUUCUUUAAAUAGUGUAAUGCUCCGUGGACCUGAUAUGACUAAUAACUUAGUUGGUGUUCUUAUGCGCUUUAGGAAGGAACUGAUUGGUAUAAUGACGGACAUUCAACAAAUGUUCUACUCAUUCACUGUAAACGAGGAACACAGAAACUUCUUGCGAUUCCUGUGGUAUCGAGAUAACGAUAUAGAUAAUGAACUUACUGACUAUCGUAUGAGAGUGCAUGCAUUCGGGAACAGUCCCUCUCCGGCAAUUGCGACGUUUGCACUUCAGAAAACUGCUGAGAUUGCAGAGCAAACCUUUGGAAAGGAUGUUAAGGAUUUAGUAUGUAGAAAUUUCUAUGUAGAUGACGCGCUCACGUCUGUCGGCAGUAACAGUGAAGCAAUUGAUCUGUUGAAUAGAACUAAAGAAGCUCUUAAGACUUUUGGAAACUUGCGUUUGCACAAAUUCUCUUCAAACAGCAAAGAAGUGAGGACGAAACUAGAUCCUGAAGAUCUAGCCGAAAACUUAGAGAAUUUGAAUUUUGAAACUGACAAUUUACCGUUACAAAGAAGUCUCGGAUUAUACUGGAACUUAGAAUCCGACACAUUUACGUUCAAGGUUUCGAACGAUGAAAAGGCAUUUACUAGAAGAGGCGUCCUCUCAACAAUCAAUAGUAUUUUUGACCCGCUAGGAUUUGUUUCACCAGUGACAAUACAAGGUAAAAUCAUACUCCGUAAACUCAUGAUUGAGUCAGUAAACUGGGAUGAGCCGUUAACUGAAGAUUUCAGACAAGAAUGGGAACAAUGGCGAACUUCUUUGACAAGCCUUGAAAAUGUAAUGAUCCGUAGAAUGUAUACGCCAAUAUCUGUUCGAGAUGCUACAAAGAUCGACCUUCACACCUUUUGUGAUGCCUCUGAGAAGGCAAUUGCGGCAGUGUCCUACUUGAAAGUAUUUCAUCAUGAUGGCUCUUCUCAUCUGGGCUUUGUGUUAGGCAAAACGAAGUUGGCACCGAUAAGCGGUAAUACUAUACCAAGACUGGAGUUAUGCGCUGCUGUUUUGGCUAUUGAAAUAUCUGAUUUCAUUAUUGACAAUUUGGACCGGAAGAUUGACACAAUCCAGUUCUACAGCGACAGUAGAAUCGUUCUAGGGUAUGUCACCAAUCAAACUAGACGAUUCUAUACGUACGUAGCUAAUCGAGUACAUCGUAUACGGAAAAGCUCUUCUCCAGAACAAUGGAACUUUGUAUCAACACAAGUUAAUCCUGCUGAUCAAGCUACCAGAGGUAUUUCGUCACACGAAGUCAACAGUAGUAUGUGGAUUCUGGGUCCACAUGAAUUCAUCUCUAAAUGCGAACAGCGAACAGCAAGUUCCGAAACUUCAUAUCCGUUAGUUCAGCCUAGUGAUGACAAAGAGUUACGCCCAAUUUUAAAUGUUCAUGUCUCAAAAACAUCUGUCAACCUACAAUCAGCGCUUGGAUCUCACCACUUUGAAAGAUUUUCGGAAUGGAGCAGAUUAGUUCAGUCUAUCGCAUUCUUACAUCGAUAUGUCCGAAAUCGUAAAAGGAUAAGUACUGAAGAAAAGAAACCGAAUUCUGUUGAACUGUAUCAAGAAGCUGAGUUGUUCGUAAUAAGAUUAGUGCAAAACGAAGUGUACGAAACGGAGAUCAGUAAUAUGGAGCAAAAUUUGUGUCUAUCUAAGAAUAGUAAUAUUAUAGCUUUGAAUCCAUAUCUAGAUUCACGUGGAGUUCUGUGCGUUGGUGGAAGAUUGAACAAGUCGAAUCUUGAAAUACAUGAGAAAAAUCCAACCAUUAUACCGGGUAAACAUUAUGUAGCCAAGUUACUUAUACGCCAUUAUCAUGAAACUGUUUGCCACCAAGGACGCCAUUUUACCGAAGGGGCGCUCAGAAAGGCAGGUUUCUGGAUAACGGGAGCAAAACGCUUGAUACAGUCGUUCAUACAUCGUUGUGUCACUUGUAGAAAAUUGAGGGGUACUUUGGAAAUUCAGAAGAUGGCGGAUCUCCCGUCCGAUCGGCUUGAACCUGGGCCACCAUUUUGUAAUGUUGGCAUCGAUGCUUUUGGUCCAUGGCAUGUAGUUACCAGGAAAACCCGUGGUGGUAGCGCACAAUCAAAGCGGUGGGCGAUAUUAUUUUCGUGUCUCACAACUCGAGCAGUGCACAUUGAAGUUGUGGAAGAAAUGUCUUCUUCUGCAUUUAUUAACGCUCUAAGAAGAUUUGUGGCAAUUCGUGGAAAAGUAAAGAUAUUUAGGUCUGACCGAGGGACAAAUUUUGUUGGCUCAACCGAUCAUUUGAAGAUUGAUACAGUGAACGUGGAGAAUGGACCUCUAAGAGACUUUUUAUACAAAUCUGGAACAGUUUGGAUAUUCAACCCUCCUCACUCCUCACACAUGGGGGGAGUGUGGGAGAGGAUUAUUGGAAUUUCUCGGCGUAUAUUAGACUCUAUGCUUUCAACAGUAGAUGGGAAAAAUCUAACUCACGACAUUCUUGUGACAUUCAUGGCAGAGGUUUCUGCAAUUAUAAACAAUAGACCGCUUGUUCCGAUAAACGCGGACCCUGAAUCACCAAUGAUUUUAUCUCCAUCGAUACUUUUGACACAGAAGACAAGUGAUAUUGACACAGUUUGUACAUUAAAUGAUUUCAGUGUAAAAGAUCUUUACAAAGCUGAAUGGAGACGGGUUCAAACAUUAGCCAACAUAUUUUGGACGAGAUGGCGUGAAGAAUAUAUUCAGACUCUUCAGGUCAGACGCAAAUGGCAUCACAAGAAACCGAAUCUUCGAAAAGGUGAUGUUGUUCUUUUGAGAGACAAAAAUGUUUGUAGGAAUGAAUGGCCAAAUGGCGUAGUGGAAGAAGCAUUCAGCAGUUCUGACGACAUAGUCCGUAAAGUCCGUGUGCGUGUUAUCCGGGAAGGAAAACCAGUUGUUUAUACACGUCCAGUUACAGAACUUGUACUUUUAUUCUCAGAAUAGUGAUAUUAUUAUGAACAUUAAAUAUGAUUGAUAUUUUUGACAUUAGUAAAUAGUUUGACACCUUUUUGUCAAUAAAGUUUAGUAUUGAUAUUUGGUACUUGAAUUCAGA
rnacentral:sRNA from 1 species